UACGGAGGGGGCUAGUGUUGUUCGGAAUUACUGGGCGUAAAGGGCGCGCAGGCGGCUUGGCAAGUCGAGUGUGAAAUCCCUUGGCUUAACUAAGGAAUGGCGCUCGAAACUACCUCGCUAGAGGACGGGAGAGGGAAGUGGAACUCUCGGUGUAGGGGUGAAAUCUGUAGAUAUCCGGAGGAAUACCAGUGGCGAAGGCGACUUGCUGGGUCUGUACUGACGCUCAGACGCGAAAGCAUGGGGAGCGAACGGG
rnacentral:rRNA from 1 species